rnacentral:rRNA from 1 species
UGAGUAACACGUGGGUGAUCUGCCCUGCACUUUGGGAUAAGCCUGGGAAACUGGGUCUAAUACCGAAUAGGACCGCAUGCUGCAUGGUGUGUGGUGGAAAGCUUUUGCGGUGUGGGAUGGGCCCGCGGCCUAUCAGCUUGUUGGUGGGGUAAUGGCCUACCAAGGCGACGACGGGUAGCCGGCCUGAGAGGGUGUCCGGCCACACUGGGACUGAGAUACGGCCCAGACUCCUACGGGAGGCAGCAGUGGGGAAUAUUGCACAAUGGGCGCAAGCCUGAUGCAGCGACGCCGCGUGGGGGAUGACGGCCUUCGGGUUGUAAACCUCUUUCAGUAUCGGCGAAGCUCCGGGGUUUUCUCUGGGGUGACGGUAGGUACAGAAGAAGCACCGGCCAACUACGUGCCAGCAGCCGCGGUAAUACGUAGGGUGCGAGCGUUGUCCGGAAUUACUGGGCGUAAAGAGCUCGUAGGUGGUUUGUCACGUUGUCCGUGAAAACUCACAGCUUAACUGUGGGCGUGCGGGCGAUACGGGCAGACUGGAGUACUGUAGGGGAGACUGGAAUUCCUGGUGUAGCGGUGGAAUGCGCAGAUAUCAGGAGGAACACCGGUGGCGAAGGCGGGUCUCUGGGCAGUAACUGACGCUGAGGAGCGAAAGCGUGGGGAGCGAACAGGAUUAGAUACCCUGGUAGUCCACGCCGUAAACGGUGGGUACUAGGUGUGGGUUUCCUUCCUUUAGGGAUCCGUGCCGUAGCUAACGCAUUAAGUACCCCGCCUGGGGAGUACGGCCGCAAGGCUAAAACUCAAAGGAAUUGACGGGGGCCCGCACAA